ensembl:lncRNA
GGGGUCAAUGGGGUCAAUGGGGUCAGUGGGGGAAACAGCUGAGGUAGCUCAGAACAGUGCCAUGUGACCCCCAUCCCAACCAGCGAAAGGAAGUGACGUCAGCAGCAGCAGGAAGUGGCAUCAGUAGAGACAGGAAGUGACGUCAGUAGUUUCAGGAAGUGACGUCAGUAGUGCCAGGAAGUGACAUCAACAGCAACAGGAAGUGACGUCAGUAGUGCCAGGAAGAUAGGUCAGUAGAGUCAGGAAGUGACAUCAACAGCAACAGGAAGUGACAUCAGUAGUGCCAGGAAGUGACGUCAGUAGCAACAGGAAGUGACAUCAAUAGCAACAGGAAGUGACAGCAAUAAUGGUAGGAAGUGACGUGAGCAGCAACAGGAAGUGAUGUCAGUAGAGAUGGAAGUGACGUCAGUAGUGGCAGGAACUGACACCUGCAGAGACAGGAAGUGGCGUCAGUGACAGGAAGCGGUGUCAGCAGCAACAGGAAGUGACGCCGUUAGCGACAGGAAGUGGCCUCAACAGCAACAGGAAGUGACUUCAGUAGAGACAAGAAGCGAUG